GUGAGGAAUAUUGGUCAAUGGACGGAAGUCUGAACCAGCCAUGCCGCGUGCAGGAAUAAGGUCCUAUGGAUUGUAAACUGUUUUUAUUCGGGAAUAAACCUCUUUACGUGUAGGGAGCUGAAGGUACCGAAGGAAUAAGCACCGGCUAACUCCGUGCCAGCAGCCGCGGUAAUACGGAGGGUGCAAGCGUUAUCCGGAAUCAUUGGGUUUAAAGGGUCCGCAGGCGGGCUAUCAAGUCAGAGGUGAAAUCCAGCAGCUUAACUGUGGAACUGCCUUUGAAACUGAUGGUCUUGAAUUAAGUGGGCGUUGGCGGAAUAUGACAUGUAGCGGUGAAAUGCAUAGAUAUGUCAUGGAACACCGAAAGCGAAGGCAGCUAACGAUACUUAUAUUGACGCUCAUGGACGAAAGCGUGGGUAGCGAACAGGAUUAGAAACCCGUGUAGUCC
rnacentral:rRNA from 1 species